rnacentral:rRNA from 1 species
AUCUGGCCCGGGUACGCAGUCGAUUCGGUCCGGCGGACGGGUGAGUAACGCGUGGGAACGUGCCCUUCUCUACGGAAUAUCCCGGGAAACUGGGUUUAAUACCGUAUCCCCUUCGGGGGAAAGAUUUAUCGAAAGGAUCGGCCCGCGUUGGAUUAGGUAGUGGGGGGUAAUGGCCUACCAACCGACAUCCAUGGGUUUGAGGAUGAUCACCACCUGGGACUGAACACGCCCAACUCCUAGGGAGGCAGCGGGGGAAUCUUAACAAGGGAAACCCUGAUCUACCUGCCGGGAGUGAAAGGCUUAGGGUCGAAAGUUUUCCCGGGAGAUAAUGACAGUACCUGAAAAAACCCCGGCUAACUCCGUGCCAGCAGCCGCGGUAAUACGGAGGGGGUUAGCGUUGUUCGGAAUUACUGGGCGUAAAGCGCGCGUAGGCGGAUUAAAAGUUGGGGGGAAAUCCCGGGGCUCACCCCGGAACUGCCUCCAAAACUACUAGUCUAGAGUUCGAGAGAGGUGAGUGGAAUUCCGAGUGUAGAGGUGAAAUUCGUAAUAUUCGGAGGAACACCAGUGGCGAAGGCGGCUCACUGGCUCGAUACUGACGCUGAGGUGCGAAAGUGUGGGGAGCAAACAGGAUUAAUACCCUGGUAUCCACACCUAAACGAUGAAUGCCAGUCGUCGGGGCGCUAGCCUUCGGUGACACACCUAACAUUAAGAUUCGCCUGGGGAGUACGGUCGCAAGAUUAAAACUCAAAGGAAUUGACGGGGCCCCGCACAAGCGGUGGAGCUGUGGUUAAUUCGAAGCAACGCGCAGAACUUACCAACCUUGACAUCCUGACGCGUACCAGAGAUGGUUUCCUUCAGUUCGGCUGGAUCAGGACGGUGCUGCAUGGUGUCGUCAGCUCGUGUCGGAGAUGUCGGUUAAGUCCGGCAACGACGCACCCCAUUCUAGUUGCCAGCAUCGCUGGGCCUCUAAAACUGCUGAUAGCGGGAGGUGACGCAGUCCAUGCGGUACCACUAAAUGUGC